CGGUAAUUCCAGCUCCAAUAGCGUAUACUAAAGUUGUUGCAGUUAAAAAGCUCGUAGUUGGAUUUCUGCGGGGACGGAGCGGCCGGUCGCAACUUGCGACUCGAGCUAGCGCUUUCCCCGCAUCCUGCCGCGUACCGUGCUACCAUUAGUUUGGUGGCGCUGGGGAUCGGCUCGAUUACUUUGAGAAAAAUAGAGUGUUCAAAGCAGGCCACACGCCUUGAAUAAGUUAGCAUGGAAUAAUGACUAAGGACUUUGGUUCUUUUCGUUGGUGUUCGGGACUGAAGUAAUGAUUGAUAGGGACAGUUGGGGCGGUCCGUAUUCCAAAGCGAGAGGUGAAAUUCUUAGGCCUUCGGAAGACGAACAGCUGCGAAAGCGUUCCGCAAGGAUGUUCCCUUUGAUCAAGAACGAAAGUUGGGGGAUCGAAGACGAUCAGAUACCGUCGUAGUCUCAACUAUAAACUAUACCAGCUAGGGAUCGGCCAACGUUUAAUUAUUCGACUUGGUCGGCACCUUAUGAGAAAUCAAAGCAUCUGGGUUCCGGGGGGAGUAUGGUCGCAAGGCUGAAACUUAAAGGAAUUGACGGAAGGGCACCACCAGCCGUGGAGCCUGUGGCUUAAUUUGACUCAACACGGGAAAACUUACCAGGUCCGGACAUAGUAAGGAUUGACAGAUUGAUAGCUCUUUCUUGAUUCUGUGGGUGGUGGUGCAUGGCCGUUUUUAGUCGGUGGAUGUGAUCUGUCUGCUUAAUUGCGUUAACGGACGAGACCCCAGCCUGCUAAAUAGCGCGGCCGAGCUUUGCUCGGUGCGAGCUUCUUAGAGGGACCAUGAUGCGCGAUAGCACAAGGAAGUUUGGGGCAACAACAGGUCUGUGAUGCCCUUAGAUGUUCUGGGCCGCACACGGGCUACACUGGCGCCUGCAACGAGCAUAUCAGCUGGCCCGAGAGGGUCUUGGCUAAUCUUUGGAACCGGCGCCGUGCUUGGGAUUGACCAUUGCAAUUGUUGGUCAUGCAACGAGGAAUGCCUUGUAAACGCGAGUCAUCAGCUCGCAUUGAAUACGUCCCUGCCCUUUGUACACACCGCCCGUCGCUCCUACCGAUGAAUGUUCCGAUGAAAUUUUCGGAGAGCGCCGGAGAACGGGGCUCCGCCCUGCAGAACUGGAGGCUCAAAGUCACUUAAAUCUGAACAUUUCGAGGAAGGAGAAGUCGUAACAAGGUAACC
rnacentral:rRNA from 1 species